rnacentral:rRNA from 1 species
GACGAACCGUGCGAACGUUGUUCGGAAUCACUGGGCUUAAAGGCGCGUAGGCGGCCACAAAAGUCAGGGGUGAAAUCUUUCGGCUCAACCGGAAAAGUGCCUCUGAUACUGUGUGGCUCGAGGGAGGUAGGGGCGGACGGAACUUCCGGUGGAGCGGUGGAAUGCGUUGAUAUCGGAAGGAACGCCGGUGGCGAAAGCGGUCCGCUGGCCCUCUUCUGACGCUGAGGCGCGAAAGCCAGGGGAGCAAACGGG